UACGGAGGGUGCAAGCGUUAUCCGGAUUUAUUGGGGUUAAAGGGUCCGUAGGCGGAUCUGUAAGUCAGUGGUGAAAUCUCACAGCUUAACUGUGAAACUGCCAUUGAUACUGCAGGUCUUGAGUGUUAUUGAAGUAGCUGGAAUAAGUAGUGUAGCGGUGAAACGCAUAGAUAUUACUUAGAACACCAAUUGCGAAGGCAGGUUACUAAGCAACAACUGACGCUGAUGGACGAAAGCGUGGGGAGCGAACAGG
rnacentral:rRNA from 1 species